rnacentral:rRNA from 1 species
ACUGAGACACGGCCCAGACUCCUACGGGAGGCAGCAGUAGGGAAUCUUCCGCAAUGGACGAAAGUCUGACGGAGCAACGCCGCGUGAGUGAUGAAGGCUUUCGGGUCGUAAAACUCUGUUGUUAGGGAAGAACAAGUGCUAGUUGAAUAAGCUGGCACCUUGACGGUACCUAACCAAAAAGCCACGGCUAACUACGUGCCAGCAGCCGCGGUAAUAC